UACGGGGGGGGCGAAGCGUUGUUCGGAAUUAUUGGGCGUAAAGGGCGCGUAGGCGGUUUGACAAGUCUGAUGUGAAAUCUCUGGGCUCAACCCAGAGUCUGCAUUAGAAACUGUCGGGCUUGAGUAUGGGAGAGGUGAGUGGAAUUUCCGGUGUAGCGGUGAAAUGCGUAGAUAUCGGAAGGAACACCUGUGGCGAAAGCGGCUCACUGGACCAUAACUGACGCUGAGGCGCGAAAGCUAGGGGAGCAAACAGG
rnacentral:rRNA from 1 species